UGAGAAUGAAGUGCCUCAACACUGUAUCCU
rnacentral:piRNA from 1 species